rnacentral:rRNA from 1 species
CCUACGGGAGGCAGCAGUAGGGAAUCUUCCACAAUGGACGAAAGUCUGAUGGAGCAACGCCGCGUGAGUGAAGAAGGGUUUCGGCUCGUAAAGCUCUGUUGGCAGUGAAGAAAGAUAGAGGUAGUAACUGGCCUUUAUUUGACGGUAAUUACUUAGAAAGUCACGGCUAACUACGUGCCAGCAGCCGCGGUAAUACGUAGGUGGCAAGCGUUGUCCGGAUUUAUUGGGCGUAAAGCGAGUGCAGGCGGUUCAACAAGUCUGAUGUGAAAGCCUUCGGCUCAACCGGAGAAUUGCAUCAGAAACUGUUGGACUUGAGUGCAGAAGAGGAGAGUGGAACGCCAGGUGUAGCGGUGGAAUGCGUAGAUAUAUGGAAGAACACCAGUGGCGAAGGCGGCUCUCUGGUCUGCAACUGACGCUGAGGCUCGAAAGCAUGGGUAGCGAACAGGAUUAGAUACCCCAGUAGUC